rnacentral:rRNA from 1 species
CUACACUGCAAGUCGAGCGGUAACAUUUCUAGCUUGCUAGAAGAUGACGAGCGGCGGACGGGUGAGUAAUGCUUGGGAACAUGCCUUGAGGUGGGGGACAACCAUUGGAAACGAUGGCUAAUACCGCAUAAUGUCUACGGACCAAAGGGGGCUUCGGCUCUCGCCUUUAGAUUGGCCCAAGUGGGAUUAGCUAGUUGGUGAGGUAAAGGCUCACCAAGGCGACGAUCCCUAGCUGGUUUGAGAGGAUGAUCAGCCACACUGGAACUGAGACACGGUCCAGACUCCUACGGGAGGCAGCAGUGGGGAAUAUUGCACAAUGGGCGCAAGCCUGAUGCAGCCAUGCCGCGUGUGUGAAGAAGGCCUUCGGGU